AGUAGUCCAGCCCAAAUCCUAAAUAAUGGCCCAUUGUAAAAACAUUCAAGUGCAGUAGUCCAGCCCAAAUCCAAUAAAAGUCCCAUUGUUAAAACUGUAAAUCCCUAAUGAUCAGUUCACUACUUCACUUCACAGCUUCACGCCUUCACCUUCACUCCUUCAGUGCUUCACACAAAAUCUCCCCAAAUCUGAUAAUCACUAAUCACGGUAUCACCUCAGCUCCAACUGCGAAGUGCGAAGUCUCUUUUCUCACAUUAGGUUUUUCUCACUCCUUCCUCAAGGAGAAAACAAUGCUUCAUUGCUGGUUCAUUUUAGGUAAAUUUAUUGAACGGUUGAGUCAUGAGUAGUUGUGUGAAGCCAAAAGAACAGACGGAGGCCAAUCCAGUUGUGCUUCUCCAUGGUUUUGAUAGAGUGAAGGUACACAUUUCCGAUGCUUGAGGAGGCUGGAUUAGAGACAUGGGCAGUUGAUAUCUUAGGAUGGGGUUUCUCUGAUGUAGCUUUCAAGCGUGAUCAUCUUUACCAGGUACCUCCUGAUUCCAAACUAAAUAUCCUGAUCUACUGCAUACAAGGUUGGAAGGUUGGAACUAGUCUCUUUCUUUGCACAUUCUAAUAAAUGUAAAGUUGCAUACCUAAGUUUAAAAGUAAGGUAAAAUUCACAUUCAUUUUUUUCCUAGUAGUGUACUAUACAAUACUUAGUUUGCCAGGGCACUGGGCACGUACACAGUUAUACCCCAUUGUGCAGUGCUAUGAUAUCGCAGUUAUGCAGCAUUAAAAAGGGCAACCAUUGCUUACUUGGUCAGCUGUACACUAUGAAAUUAUGGAAGUAGUGUUGGAUUGUUUGAUGUAACUAAACGUAUAUGUUAUAAUGUUUGUGGUUUAUUACUGAAAGGGUAAUUCUUUCAUCCUAUAAUCGAUAUGCAUACUUAUAAAAGAGAGAAAAAUCUUGAGUAUUGAUGAGCAAAAAAAUGGUAUUACCGAAUACUGUACCGAACCGAAAUUUGAUUUACCGAUUCCCGAAUUACCGAACCGAAGUUUGAAAGUUCGGUAUUUGGUAUAUACUUUUAAUUACCGAAUACCGAAUUACCGAACCCGAACUUUAAAAAUACCGAACCGAAUACCGAACGCCCAGCCCCAAGUAUAUCUGUAUCAUCAGUUCAUGUCAUUGGACCUUACAUGUAAAUGAUAGACAUUUUAAAUGAAUACUGAUUUGUAUUGACAAUGACAACUUAUUCUCUCUCCUCCGAGCAAUAAAGUUGACGCCUGACCCUUCUAAGAGUUUGGUGCAAGUGUGUAAAUUAACUUUUUUUUAAUGAUUUACCCCUAAAAUUUUCCGUAGGCACGGAUACUAUACUAAUUAAUUCCCAUAUAUAGACAGAUCAUCCUAUGCUGAGAUGAGAAUGUUGAGAUGGAUGUGUGGUCACACCAAGAGUGACAGGAUUAGGAAUGAGGAUAUUCGGGACAAGGUGGGAGUGACCUCGGUGGAAGACAAGAUGCGAGAAGCGAGAUUGAGAUGGUUUGGGUAUGUGAAGAGGAGAGACACGGAUGCCCCAGUGCGGAGGUGUGAGAGGUUGGCCAUGAAUGGUUUCAGAAGAGGUAGGGAUAGGCCAAAGAAGUAUUGGGGAGAGGUAAUUAGACACGACAUGGCGCAGUUACAGCUUACCGAGGACAUGACCUUAGAUAGGAGGGUUUGGAAGACCCACAUUAGGGUAGAAGGCUAGUAGAUAGUCUCAUUAUCCUGUCCUAUUAGUAGUCGCAUUAUCGUAGUAUAAUUUCUUGUGCUCUGAUUUAUGCUAUUAUCUGUUAUUUCCUGUGCUUUGAUUAUUCUAUGUUAUCUGUGUCGCUUGCGUUACUUCAUUUCCAUAUCGCUUUGAAUCUCUUAGCCUUAUCUGACCUCUUUUUAUGUUUUUUAUUGAGCCGAGGGUCUUUCGGAAACAACCGUCCUACCUUGGUAGGAGUAAGGUCUGCGUACACUCUAUCCUCCCCAGACCCCACGUGGUGGGAUUUCACUGGGUUGUUGUUGUUGUUGUAUCCUAACAAAUAUAUUGCAACGUGCAUGUGCAUAUAUUUGAUGUAUUAAAUGGGGGUAGUGUCGUGCGAAUCACGGACCCAACGGGUCGGUUAGAUAGUUUGUAAUAUAUAGAAGUCUUAAGUUGGACAAACAGAUGUGUUCGUGAAAGGGCAUGACUAU